CACGGUCGGGUGAGGAGGGAGUUCAGGCUUUGGCAGCUCUGGCGCGACUUGGUGAGGCACCUCAGGCUUUGGAAGCUCUGGGACGGCCGGGUGAGGAGGCAGUUCGGGCUUGGGCAGCUCCGGCACUGGGUGCGGCACCUCAGGUUUCGGGAGCUCCGGGACGGCUGUCGGCUGCGGUGGCACCUCGGGCUUGGGCAGCUCCGGCACUGGGUGCGGCACCUCAGACUUCGGCAGCUCGGGCACGGCCGCCGGGUGCGGUGUCAGCUCGGGCUUGGGCAGCUCCGGCACUGGGUACGGCACCUCAGGUUUCGGGAGCUCAGGGACGGCUGUCGGGUGCGGUGGCACCUCGGGCUUGGGCAGCUCCGGCACUGGGUGCGGCACCUCUGGUUUCGGGAGCUCAGGGACGGCUGUCGGGUGCGGCACCUCCGGUUUCGGGAGCUCUGGCACGGCCGCCGGGUGCGGUGUCAGCUCGGGCUUCGGCUGCUCCGGCACCGGAUGAGGCACCUCAGGCUUCGGCAGCUCGGGGACAACGGCC
rnacentral:lncRNA from 1 species